CCUACGGGAGGCAGCAGUGAGGAAUAUUGCACAAUGGGCGCAAGCCUGAUGCAGCAACGCCGCGUGGAGGAUGAAGGCCUUCGGGUUGUAAACUCCUUUUCUGGGGGACGAGGAAGGACGGUACCCCAGGAAGAAGUCUCGGCUAACUACGUGCCAGCAGCCGCGGUAAAACGUAGGAGGCGAACGUUAUCCGGAAUUACUGGGCGUAAAGCGCACGCAGGCGGCUUCGUAAGUCCAACGUGAAAGCUCCCGGCUUAACCGGGAGAGGUCGUUGGAUACUGCGAGGCUCGAGGUUAGGAGAGGGAAGUGAAAUUCCCGGUGUAGUGGUGGAAUACGUAGAUAUCGGGAGGAACUCCAGUGGCGAAGGCGACUCCCUGGCCUACACCUGACGCUGAGGUGCGAAAGCGUGGGGAGCAAACAGGAUUAGAUACCCCGGUAGU
rnacentral:rRNA from 1 species